AUUGAACGCUGGCGGCAUGCUUUACACAUGCAAGUCGAGCGGCAGCGCGGGGGCAACCCUGGCGGCGAGCGGCGAACGGGUGAGUAAUGCAUCGGAACGUACCCUGGAGUGGGGGAUAACGCCGCGAAAGCGGCGCUAAUACCGCAUAUGCUCUGAGGAGGAAAGUGGGGGACCGCAAGGCCUCACGCUCUGGGAGCGGCCGAUGUCCGAUUAGCUAGUUGGUGGGGUAAAGCUUACCAAGGCGACGAUCGGUAGCUGGUCUGAGAGGAUGAUCAGCCACACUGGGACUGAGACACGGCCCAGACUCCUACGGGAGGCAGCAGUGGGGAAUUUUGGACAAUGGGGGCAACCCUGAUCCAGCCAUGCCGCGUGAGUGAAGAAGGCCUCGGGUUGU
rnacentral:rRNA from 1 species